rnacentral:lncRNA from 14 species
AUGNNNNNNNNNNNNNNNNNNNNACACCUGCUCUCCUCUCCGAGGACGCCCCCGCCAGCACCACACCCGCCCCCAGAACGCUUGAAAGACACCGGUGGGGGCACCACCGCCUUCCGCUCUGAGCCGGCCCAGCCUCGCCCGCCGGCCGAGCCACCGCCCCGCUCUGUUUUGGGGAGGUCAUGCAUUGCCAUGUCUCUCUUCCCGCUCCCUCAGCCGCUACACCCGGCGCGGCGAGCCCUCCGGCGAGGCACAGCUGCAGGCGAAGGUUUGCCUCAUCUUGCUGAAGGAAAGCUGCAGUAUGCCCAGUUCUCCUUCAAAACGUCUGAAAGAUGAAACAACAGCCACUGUUCUGUUUGUCUGUAAACCAGCAUUAAGUGCAGGCAGCAGAAAAUAGGUGGAUAAUAAUUUACUAUGCUUGCCUGCUUCAAAUGAAAAGCACCUAAAGCCACAUAAAGAACCU